rnacentral:tmRNA from 1 species
GCAAGAUUAAACUCAAACAAUUUCUCUAAACAUGUAGACGUUAGGAGUAGCGUGGUUUCGGACUGGAGUUCGAUCCUCCACAGCUCCACCA